AAGAAUUAAUCAAGUUAAUAUUUUUCUUGCGAGUGCAAAAAGAAGAAGCAAAUGUUUUUUUUUUAUACAGAGAAAGUAAUAAGAAACUGUUAAUGUUUAUAUCGAAAAUAUGGUAAAUUCCAUUUGUACGAACCUGUUCAAGAUAAGCAAAUUUAUAUGGCCAAGUUGUUUAUGCAAUAACGGUUUUAAUUAUCCCCACUGGCUAUGAUUUUUCAUUCAAUUAAUAAGAGUUCAUUUGCACGUGAAUACGUAAUAACAUUUUAUAUUUUAUACGAAUUUGGGGAGGGAAAAAAGUAUCUUGCAUACGUGAUAUUAUAAUUAUUUGUAUAAUAAAAUGAAAAAUUCAUUUAUUUUGCAGCAGUGACACAGUUUAAUAAAUUAAUACCUCGAAUUAAAUACAGAUGAUUCCUCCCCUCGAUUUUUUCGAAUUAAUUAAUAAUUCCCCGACCGUUCGUAAAUUGGGAAUUUGCCUUGAAUAGAAUUCUGUAAACGAGAAUUCGAAUACGAAACGAAUGUUAAAUUAUAAAAUUAUUGGCCAAGGAUUUACAGUAUUUAAAAAAAUGGCGUAAGAAAAAUUUCAUUGCGCGAUUUCCUGUGCACGCUUUUAAUUGGCCUCGUAUAAUUUGAAUCAAAAGAAUUCCAAAAAAUUUCUAAAGUGAGACGAAGCCAUGUUCCUGAGAGAAGUGGUCACCGAACAAAGAUGGUCCGCCUAACUUCUAAUAUUGAGAGCUUGACACAUCGGGAAGUCAGUGGCUCGAAGCCAAGAGAGAGAGAGAGAGAGAGAGAGACCUCCUCGUUCGCUGGACGACGACCCUGAAUGUUCACCUAACGUUCCAUCCACAAUGAUUCGAUCCCCUCGUGAUCGAUCUCGAUCACGAAUCGCGGAUCUGGAAAAUCGGAUCGAAGUAAUCCGUGCCACGGUGUCGCGUGAACCGUGACGCGUUUCCCGGAUGAUCGGCCCCGUGGACUUUGUCACAAAGCUCUGGCCAAUGGCGAAAGUCGUUUUUGCAAAGUGAUCGAGUUCGUCGAGAUGAAGCUUGGUAAAAA